UACGAAGGGUGCAAGCGUUAUCCGGAUUCACUGGGUUUAAAGGGUGCGUAGGCGGGUUGGUAAGUCCGUGGUGAAAUCCCCAAGCUUAACUUGGGAACUGCCGUGGAUACUAUCAAUCUUGAAUAUCGUGGAGGUAAGCGGAAUAUGUCAUGUAGCGGUGAAAUGCUUAGAUAUGACAUAGAACACCAAUUGCGUAGGCAGCUUACUACACGAUCAUUGACGCUGAGGCACGAAAGCGUGGGGAUCAAACAGG
rnacentral:rRNA from 1 species